AGUGAACGCUGGCGGUAGGCCUAACACAUGCAAGUCGAACGGCAGCACAGUAAGAGCUUGCUCUUACGGGUGGCGAGUGGCGGACGGGUGAGGAAUACAUCGGAAUCUACUUUUUCGUGGGGGAUAACGUAGGGAAACUUACGCUAAUACCGCAUACGACCUACGGGUGAAAGCAGGGGAUCUUCGGACCUUGCGCGAUUGAAUGAGCCGAUGUCGGAUUAGCUAGUUGGCGGGGUAAAGGCCCACCAAGGCGACGAUCCGUAGCUGGUCUGAGAGGAUGAUCGGCCACACUGGAACUGGGACAGGUUCCAGACUCCUACGGGAGGCAGCAGGGGGGAAUAUUGGACAAUGGGCGCAAGCCUGAUCCAGCCAUACCGCGUGGGUGAAGAAGGCCUUCGGGUUGUAAGCCCUUUUGUUGGGAAAGAAAAGCAGCAGGUUAAUACCCCGCUGUUCUGACGGUACCCAAAGAAUAAGCACCGGCUAACUUCGUG
rnacentral:rRNA from 1 species